ACCAGUGAAACUGAUCUACCAGUACAAAAGCUGGUAUAACACUAUAAGACGAGAAGACCCUGUGGAGCUUAAAAUUAUAAUCAUACCAACCUUUAACCACAUAAACUCUUUGACCCUAUAAUUUUCAGUUGGGGCGACUUCGGAACCAAACCAAACUUCCAAGCAAACAGGCCUUAAUCCUAACCAAGACCAACAAGUCAAGCAAAAUGACCCAGUAAAACUGAUCAACGAACCAAGUUACCCCAGGGAUAACAGCGCAAUCUUCUUCAAGAGUCCAUAUCGACAAGAAGGUUUACGACCUCGAUGUUGGAUCAGGACACCCAAUUGGUGCAGCCGCUAUUAAAGGUUCGUUUGUUCAACGAUUAACAGU
rnacentral:rRNA from 1 species